UACGUAGGGCGCAAGCGUUGUCCGGAAUUAUUGGGCGUAAAGAGCUCGUAGGCGGUUUGUCGCGUCUGUCGUGAAAGCUUGGGGCUUAACCCCAAGUCUGCGGUGGAUACGGGCAGACUAGAGGCAGGUAGGGGAGAACGGAAUUCCCGGUGUAGCGGUGAAAUGCGUAGAGAUCCGGAGGAAGACCGGUGGCGAAGGCGGCCUGCUGGGCAGUUACUGACACUGAGGCGCGACAGCGUGGGGAGCAAACAGG
rnacentral:rRNA from 1 species